CACGUAGUUAGCCGUGGCUUUCUGAUUAGGUACCGUCAAGACGUGCACAGUUACUUACACAUUUGUUCCUCCCUAAUAACAGAGUUUUACGAUCCGAAGACCUUCAUCACUCACGCGGCGUUGCUCCGUCAGGCUUUCGCCCAUUGCGGAAGAUUCCCUACUGCUGCCUCCCGUAGGAGUCUGGACCGUGUCUCAGUUCCAGUGUGGCCGAUCACCCUCUCAGGUCGGCUACGUAUCGUUGCCUUGGUAAGCCAUUACCCCACCAACUAGCUAAUACGGCGCGGGUCCAUCUAUAAGUGAUAGCAAAACCAUCUUUCACUUUAGAACCAUGCGGUUCUAAAUAUUAUCCGGCAUUAGCCCCGGUUUCCCGGAGUUAUUCCAGUCUUAUAGGUAGGUUACCCACGUGUUACUCACCCGUCCGCCGCUAACGUCAAAGGAGCAAGCUCCUUAUCUGUUCGCUCGACUUGCAUGUAUUAGGCACGCCGCCAGCGUUCAUCCUGAGCCAGGAUCAAACUCU
rnacentral:rRNA from 1 species